UGGUCCUGAACUCACAAAGAUCCACCUG
rnacentral:misc_RNA from 1 species